ensembl:lncRNA
CGUCUGCUUCAAUUACCCCUUCUUUGUCACACCCUGGGUAGGUUUUAAAGUUCAAGUGACAAUCGGGUAGAAAACUGACAGCACCAAGUCACAUCUCACUGAACUUUGAUCUCAGAGACAUCAAGACAAACAUCGGAUUUAUAAAUCUACGUCAGAUGUAAUAUGUGAUACAGACCCAUACCCAAGCACCUGCAUGCUGAGUACUUCACCUUUGUUGUGUAUAUCAUGCACACUACUACAAUGAUCUUAAUAAUGAAAAGGGAUGGAGUUAAUGUCCUGCCAGUUUUAAUUGGUUUGAUGGGCCAACAUGGUGGAUCCGAAUACACUUGGUACAGGAAAAUGUGAUUAUACAACCAGCUCAAAUUGAAUCAUAC